AUUGAACGCUGGCGGCAGGCUUAACACAUGCAAGUCGAACGAGCGGCGGACGGGUGAGUAAUGUUUGGGAAACUGCCUGAUGGAGGGGGGUAACUACUGGAAACGGUAGCUAAUACCGCAUACCAUCAGAUGUGCCCAUAUGGGAUUAGCUAGUUGGUGGGGUAAUGGCUCACCUAGGCGACGAUCCCUAGCUGGUCUGAGAGGAUGACCAGCCACACUGGAAAGGAGACACGGUCCAGACUCCUACGGCAGGCAGAAGGGGGGAAUAUGGCACAAUGGGCGAAAGCCUGAUGCAGCAAUGCCGCGUGUAUGAAGAAGGCCUUCGGGUUGUAAAGUAUUUUCAGCGAGGAGGCGUUACGCGCAGAGGAAGCACCGGCUAACUCCGUGCCAGCAGCCGCGGUAAUAC
rnacentral:rRNA from 1 species